UUGAAUACACACAGGAUUGUUGCUGGCUAGAUUAAUUUCUAGCAUUGUGCACGUCCAUCAUCUUCAAUUACACACACACUUGUGAACCUAUUGUAGAUCGCAAGAUCUAUGUCUUUAUUCAUCACAUAUCCCAUCGUAUGUCUACAGAAUGAUUAUAAAUAUAAUA
rnacentral:misc_RNA from 1 species